GACGAACGCUGGCGGCGUGCUUAACACAUGCAAGUCGAACGGAAAGGCCCCUUUGGGGGUACUCGAGUGGCGAACGGGUGAGUAACACGUGAGUAACCUGCCCUUGACUUCGGGAUAACUUCAGGAAACUGGGGCUAAUACCGGAUAGGAAUCCUUGCUGCAUGGUGGGGGUUGGAAAGCUUCGGCGGUUUUGGAUGGACUCGCGGCUUAUCAGCUUGUUGGUGGGGUAGUGGCUUACCAAGGCUUUGACGGGUAGCCGGCCUGAGAGGGCGACCGGCCACAUUGGGACUGAGAUACGGCCCAGACUCCUACGGGAGGCAGCAGUAGGGAAUAUUGCACAAUGGGCGGAAGCCUGAUGCAGCAACGCCGCGUGCGGGAUGACGGCCUUCGGGUUGUAAACCGCUUUCAGCAGGGGCGAAGCUUGUGGUGACGGUACCUGCAGAAGAAGCACCGGCUAACUACGUG
rnacentral:rRNA from 1 species